rnacentral:rRNA from 1 species
GACGAACGCUGGCGGCGUGCUUAACACAUGCAAGUCGAACGGAAAGGCCCUGCUUUUGUGGGGUGCUCGAGUGGCGAACGGGUGAGUAACACGUGAGUAACCUGCCCUUGACUUUGGGAUAACUUCAGGAAACUGGGGCUAAUACCGGAUAGGAGCUCCUGCUGCAUGGUGGGGGUUGGAAAGUUUCGGCGGUUGGGGAUGGACUCGCGGCUUAUCAGCUGGUUGGUGGGGUAGUGGCUUACCAAGGCUUUGACGGGUAGCCGGCCUGAGAGGGUGACCGGCCACAUUGGGACUGCGAUACGGCGCAGACGCCUACGGGAGGCAGCAGUGGGGAAUAUUGCACAAUGGGCGGAAGCCUGAUGCAGCAACGCCGCGUGCGGGAUGACGGCCUUCGGGUUGUAAACCGCUUUCGCCUGUGACGAAGCGUGAGUGACGGUAAUGGGUAAAGAAGCACCGGCUAACUACGUG